AACGUCGUGAGACAGUUUGGUCCCUAUCUGCCGUGGGUGUUCGAGAAUUGAGAGGAGCUGCUCCUAGUACGAGAGGACCGGAGUGGACAUGUCACUAGUGUACCGGUUGUGACGCCAGUUGCAGCGCCGGGUAGCCAUAACAUGGAAGAGAUAACCGCUGAAAGCAUCUAAGCGGGAAACUCGCCUCAAAAUAAGUUCUCGCCAUCAGAGCUGUGGAAGACUACCACGUUGAUAGGCCGAGUGUGGAAGUGCAGUAAUGCAUGUAGCUAAUCGGUACUAAUAGCUCAAUUGGCUUGAUACA
rnacentral:rRNA from 1 species